rnacentral:rRNA from 1 species
UACGUAGGGUGCGAGCGUUAAUCGGAAUUACUGGGCGUAAAGCGUGCGUAGGCGGUCCGCGAAGUCUGAUGUGAAAGCCCCGGGCUCAACCUGGGAACUGCAUUGGAAACUAACGGGCUCGAGUGUGGCAGAGGGGGGUGGAAUUCCACGUGUAGCAGUGAAAUGCGUAGAGAUGUGGAGGAACACCGAUGGCGAAGGCAGCCCCCUGGGCUAACACUGACGCUCAGGCACGAAAGCGUGGGGGGCAAACAGG